rnacentral:rRNA from 1 species
UGUAGAGAAUCUGCCCUGUACUGGGGGACGAACAGAGGGAAACUUCUGCUAAUACCCAUAUGAGCGUACCUGCGAUGGUAUUCUUGAAAGUUCCGGCGGUACAGGAUGAGUCUGCAUCUGAUUAGCUAGUUGGUGGUGUAAUGGACUACCAAGGCGACGAUCAGUAGCUGGUUUGAGAGGAUGAUCAGCCACAAUGGGACUGAGACACGGCCCAUACUCCUACGGGAGGCAGCAG